UAGGGAAUCUUCGGCAAUGGACGAAAGUCUGACCGAGCAACGCCGCGUGAGUGAAGAAGGGUUUCGGAUCGUAAAACUCUGUUGUUAGAGAAGAACAAGGACGUUAGUAACUGAACGUCCCCUGACGGUAUCUAACCAGAAAGCCACGGCUAACUACGUGCCAGCAGCCGCGGUAAUACGUAGGUGGCAAGCGUUGUCCGGAUUUAUUGGGCGUAAAGCGAGCGCAGGCGGUUUCUUAAGUCUGAUGUGAAAGCCCCCGGCUCAACCGGGGAGGGUCAUUGGAAACUGGGAGACUGGAGUGCAGAAGAGGAGAGUGGAAUUCCAUGUGUAGCGGUGAAAGGCGUAGAUAUAUGGAGGAACACCAGUGGCGAAGGCGGCUCUCUGGUCUGUAACUGACGCUGAGGCUCGAAAGCGUGGGGAGCAAACAGG
rnacentral:rRNA from 1 species